ACUCCUGCGGGAGGCAGCAGUGGGGAAUUUUGGACAAUGGGCGAAAGCCUGAUCCAGCAAUGCCGCGUGAGUGAAGAAGGCCUUCGGGUUGUAAAGCUCUUUUGUCAGGGAAGAAACGGUGAAAGCUAAUAUCUUUUGCUAAUGACGGUACCUGAAGAAUAAGCACCGGCUAACUACGUGCCAGCAGCCGCGGUAAUACGUAGGGUGCAAGCGUUAAUCGGAAUUACUGGGCGUAAAGCGUGCGCAGGCGGUUUUGUAAGUCUGAUGUGAAAUCCCCGGGCUCAACCUGGGAAUUGCAUUGGAGACUGCAAGGCUAGAAUCUGGCAGAGGGGGGUAGAAGUCCACGUGUAGCAGUGAAAUGCGUAGAUAUGUGGAGGAACACCAAUGGCGAAGGCAGCCCCCUGGGUCAAGAUUGACGCUCAUGCACGAAAGCGUGGGGAGCAGACUGGAUUAGAAACCCCAGUAGUCCC
rnacentral:rRNA from 1 species